rnacentral:rRNA from 1 species
UACGUAGGGUGCGAGCGUUGUCCGGAAUUAUUGGGCGUAAAGAGCUCGUAGGCGGUCUGUCGCGUCGAAUGUGAAAACCCGGGGCUCAACUCCGGGCUUGCAUUCGAUACGGGCAGGCUAGAGUUCGGUAGGGGAGACUGGAAUUCCUGGUGUAGCGGUGAAAUGCGCAGAUAUCAGGAGGAACACCGAUGGCGAAGGCAGGUCUCUGGGCCACUACUGACGCUGAGGCGCGAAAGCGUGGGGAGCAAACAGG